GCAGAGAGCACUGUUCGCCCUGAAGCUGUAGCUGCUCAACACGGACUACCUACGGCAGAGAGCACUGUUCGCCCUGAAGCUGUAGCUGCUCAACACGGACUACCUACGGCAGAGAGCACUGCUCGCCCUGAAGCUGUAGCUGCUCAACACGGACUACCUACGGCAGAGAGCACUGUUCGCCCUGAAGCUGUAGCUGCUCAACACGGACUACCUACGGCAGAGAGCACUGUUCGCCCUGAAGGACAUAGUGGCUCGGCAUCUUUCUGAGAGAGAUGUGUCUGAAGACCAGCCUAUGCCUCCCAGCCCUGUUCUCCAGGCUUCCGCCACCACAGAACUGACAUCCAGAAAGAUCAUGUUCUCAACGUAUGCUGAUUACUCAGGAAAGAGACAGAAAAUAAAUGUCUCAGAAGGAGGUGAAUGCAUGCUAUCUAUCGCCUCCCACCUUAAGCCAUUUACCAAUGAGGAUCUGGGUGCCUGUGAUGGUACUAACUCUUGCUUAACUGAGAUCCAGUGUGCACAAGUUGACACUCAACAACUUGACAGGCAGAUAAACAUUAUCAUGGCUGAGAUCCUUCCCAUUUUGAAGGAGCGUGUAGAGGAGGAGCUCUUCUUAUCUCCUGGCCUCCAUCAGACACAAGGUUCUGGCUCUGACAGAGUAAAGGGGCGGGAGCAAAGAAUUCAUCCGGUUCUUCCACAAACAGCUCAAUGAUGUUCUGCAGGAGACAAAAUCAUUGGCGGAACAACAGCCAUACCCGACAUCACUGGAAGAUGAAGAUAAAGACAAGGAUGAAGCAGAGCGGAGGGAGAAUGUGCUGAGGCAGGGGAAAGGAUGACUAGUUUGAAAGAUAACAGCUGCAAUGAUGCCUUAGAAGGAGAAGAAGUGGAAGAUCUGAAUGACAGUGAAGGACUGCUUCUAUCAAUAAACCUGUCUAAGGCAGACACCCAGGCUCUGACUAACUACAGCAGCAGAGAGGACGAGAAUGAGGAAGAGGAAGAAAAAGACUUAAAGGCUGAGCCUGAUGACGUCCAGACCUCUCUCCAAGCCAGUAACGACUCUCUCCAAGCCAGUAACGACUCUCUCCAAGCCAGUAACGACUCUCUCCAAGCCUAUAUAGUAUACUAUACUCUCCUCCUCCUGAGUUAUCAAGCCCUGAGUAACCAUAAUGGGGUCACAUGUAUUCAUUUAUCCUUUACAAUAGGGAGGGUCAGGAAAUGUAAGCCAAAAGUCGGAUGAGGAUGUUUUUGUCAAAGUGGAAGAUAUACCACCGCCGCAACAUCCUGAAGUUAAUAAGGAGGAGAUUCAAAAAAGUUGAACUGAAGAUCAGAAAAGCAGUUUGUCUGAGGUAGUUGAUGGAAAAAACAGUACCAACAAGAAAUCUCAAGCUUGACUCUGACGGUACAGGACAACUUCACAACAGUUGAAUCAAUUAUUAAAGAAAACAACAAUUCUGAAAACUCUUGAAUCUCUUAAAACGAAAUAUAACUUUUCAAUUACAGUAAUCCCAAGUUUGACACUUUUCUGAAUAUUCUUCUUCCCCUGUGAGACAAACGUAGAAUGUGAAAUAUUAAACAAACCUGAUAUAGUGAUAGUAAAACACUUUUAUGCCACAGUGUUUGUUUCAUCCAUGGAAGUGUCCCUGGCCUAGAGGCACGACGUCGUCUCAUUCUUCUCUUAACUGAUGGUUCACAGCAUACAUCAGCAAGGAAAGUGUUUCCAUAUCAAAAACAAAUCAAUACAUGAUCAAAUGUGAAACCUAGUGAUUUGUCGGUGGAUAGCUGUUUAUUAGAGAUCAGGAUGGGCUUCGGACAGAUUUUCCCUACAUCUCUUCUGUGUCUGAUUUUACAUUCACUGAAGCAAUCCACUGUAAUGAAGAAGAACGAUAUAACUGAUUACUCAACCAUGAUUCUCAUUCAAACACUCAGGGAUCAGUUUCUAUGGCUACAUGGAUUCUGAUACAGUUAGAGAUCUUUAUCUUAAUCUAACCAUGUUAUUUUAUGGUGGACUAAAUGUAUGUAGGCUGUGACGACCCUCCCACUCUGUCUGCCGUAUUCUCUCUUUGCUCUUUUUCCUUAUUAGG